UACGUAGGUGGCAAGCGUUGUCCGGAAUUAUUGGGCGUAAAGCGCGCGCAGGCGGUCCUUUAAGUCUGAUGUGAAAGCCCACGGCUCAACCGUGGAGGGUCAUUGGAAACUGGGGGACUUGAGUGCAGGAGAGAAGAGUGGAAUUCCACGUGUAGCGGUGAAAUGCGUAGAUAUCUGGAGGAACACCGGUGGCGAAGGCGGCAUCCUGGACCAUUACUGACACUGAUAAGCGAAAGCCAGGGGAGCAAACGGG
rnacentral:rRNA from 1 species